GGCGUGAUGGGCGGGGUUUGGCCCUCGGGGCGGAAGCGUGGCGAGAUGGGCGGGGUUUGGCCGGAAGGCCAGAAGCGCGUGGAAGGCGUGGCCGGAGGGCGGAGGCUGGGCGGUGCGGGCGAGAUGGAGCCGAAACUUGGGUUCCAUGAGCUCCUGCACGUUUUCUCCUUCCUGGAGGCCCGAGACCUGCUCUGCGCCGCCCAGGUGGACAAGGUCUGGAAUGAGGUUUCAGGGACCAAGGAACUGUGGAGGCAGCUGUGUCUGAGACGCUGGUCAUCAUGUAAAACCUCCCAGAUGACCUUGGGCACACAAACAUGGAAAGAGUACUAUCUCUGCCGAUCCGAGCUGGAGUUCCGAAUGGAAUGUGGGCGGCCAGAGAAGGACUUCAUCUGCAAAGCCAUUGCCGGGCACACAGGAGAGAUAGACGAGCUGGCUUACAUCUCAACCAAGGAGUGCCGGUUUGAUGGGCAAGAGAAGUCCAUGGUGUGCACCGUGUCCUCGGACAGCACCGUCCGUGCCUGGGAUGUGCAGGAGGGCACAGAGAUCUGGUCAAGCCCUCUGCAGCCUGCUGCUCUGGUGAACGUGGUGACCUUCCCUCGGCUCCAGCUGGCCAUCACCGUGGAUGAGCGGGGCCUCAUCAAGGUUUGGGGAGCGGAGAAUGGAUGGGAGCAGGCCUCCUUCCGCCUGCCUACAUUCUCGUCUGCAUUGCAGGCCUGCGACCAUCCAGAGGGCCCUUUCCUGCUGGUGGCCUGUGCCGAGGGCUUCCUGUAUGCGCUCACGGUGCCCCAGCUGCAGCUGCGGUCCAGGACUCGCGUGUUCCCGAGCAGCCCCACCAGUCUCCUCUGCUCUCCUGACUGCCAGUGGGUGUUUGCUUCAACCCAGAACUCAGACCUGGGCCCGAAGGUGUUCCACACUCGCUCCCUGCUGUGUCUGGUGGAGGAUGAGCCUCCCGUCUCCACCACUCUACCCAUCUGGCUGACCUCCAGAGCCUGCUGGGCCCCUGACGAGACAGCCAGGCUGAUGGUGACGCACAGAAAUGACAACGGCAUGCAGCUGGUCAUCACCACCUACGAGCUCAGGACCAAGCAGUCACGGGAAGGGGUAGACGUCGUGGUACAACAGAUGGCAAGUUUCCUCCUGCCCAACUCCAUGAUACCUCCUCACCUCAUGAAGGGCCACGGCUCUCAGGUGAUCCUGCUGGUGUCCGGGUCGGAGCUGGCGCUCUUCACCAUCCACGGGGUGCAGCUGGCAGCCUUCCAGGACCACCAGAGGCCCAUCACGUCCAUGUGGGUGGACCAGAGCCGAGUCAUCACCGCUUCCUUUGACCUAUCCCUGCGAGUCUAUGUGUGGAAUAAAGAAACGAAGCCUCCCGUCCUCAAGAGCUGCUAUCACCUGCUUGGGGGCUCCCACAGAUGGGCCAGUGGAUUCACCCAUGUGGAAGGUGACAGUAUGAGCAUUGUAGGUGUGGAAGCCAGAAACAUUGGGACGAGUAUUCUGAGGUCAUAUUGCUUCAAAGUGCAGCGUGGCUCAGAUGACUGCAUCAAUUGAAGAUGAUCUCACUUUGGUGAAGAGCUUGUCUACAUACAGACUAAAUGAUGACUUAACACCAUUGAAACAGAAAUGAGCAAUUCUCAGAUACCUGUUAUGGACCAGGCACUGUGCUAUGUGACUUUUUUUUAAUCCUCACAAACCAGUUAAAGAGGUAUGAUGUCUCUGUUUUUCAGAUGAGGAACAGGACCAGUAAUGGGAGAGUAACCCAUUAUUGGCCCGUUGUCCAGCUGCCACGCCACCUGCCUAAGCUUGUUCAGAUAGUAAGUGGUAGAGAGGAGUGGAUGCCAGAAGGCCCAAGUACAAGGGCCUGGGCUUGUACCAUGAUUAUUUUGUUGUUAGAUAUGUAACGAAGUAAGGACAUGGUUUUUCCCCCCAUUCUGUUAUGUGCUUUAGGCACACGUUAAUAAAUGGUUGUGUGGCACCACACUGCCCAGCUCUAGGGAUGCCAUUCUGUGUCUUGUACAGAUGGCAUCCCUGGAGUUGGUCCACAGGGAGGCCCUGGCUGCUUUGGUGGGUGGGUUACCGGGGUUCUCAGCUACAGGCAGCAGGGACAGAAAGCUAGCUAACUAACACCAAGAAAGGAAUUUACUGGAAGGAGAUAGAGAAGUGUGCUGGGUCAGCGGGGGGGGGGGGGCUGGAGAAACAGAUCUGGAACCGUAGGAAGCAGGGCCUGUUCCAGCAGUGUCUGGCCUUCCGUCCCUGUUUUCCCCAACACUUCCACGCUGCUGCCACUGCAUCUGUGGCACUGACACCAUCUGAAAACUUACCAGCUGCUUCUGGGGAAGGGUGACUUCAAGGCUGGGAACACCAGAAUGUGAGUGUGAUUUUCUGACUUUGCCGCAAGCCCUCACCAUCCAGGCCAGGAUGGGAGAGUCUGACCCUUUAAGCUUCAAUAGAGCAGCUCCCAGUCCAGACUCACACUGUGAAAAAUUCUUCAAAACUAGGAAAAGUUCCUGAGAAACAGACAAUGAGGAUGAAAAGCUCGCUACCGCAGCCUGCCACUUCAGCUGUCCAGUACCGAUACCCCCUUGCCCAGUACUUGCACGUUAUACCCAACACAGCACCUGUGUCCCAUAUAAGCCCAGACGCAGUUAUUUACCCAAGAGGAGAAGAUCUGUGUCCUCCCCCUUUUGAAAUCUAAGAUGUGUUUUGGGGUAAUUUUACAUUUACAGAAAAGUUGCAAAAAUAGGGCAGUGGAUCCCCAUAUAUCUUGCUCAGCCUCCCCUCGUGUGAAUACCUUACAUAAGGUGGGCAUUUGGAAACCCAAAGUCUUUGUCAGCUUGAAGUCAGAACUCUCUGUUUGUCCCAUCACAGUCCUACCGGGUGUUCAGCGGUCCUAGUGCAUCCUGCUUACAGCCAUGGGGGAAGGGAGAGGAGGCAAAAAAUUCGCUGAAAAACACACACACAUGACACAGCAAGAAAGGAAAUAGCUGUGCAGAAGAUAAAGGGAAGAUUCAGGUAAGUUGAGAUAGAGGAGUUUUUGCUGAAGACACGGGAAAGGGGUUGGAAUGUUGGCAAAAGAGGGGAGGUCCGAUAAGGGACUGGUGAGGGUACAAGCCACCCGAGAGGCAUGGACAUGUGAUAGCUGGGGAAGCAGUGUGGUCAGUUCUUAGGGAAGGCACCCCACCAGGGCCUCAUAUGUGCUGGCAGCAGCAUUAAAUGGUGUCACGUCUGGGUGUGGUGGCCCUGCCCAAGGACAGCUCUGUGGUGCGGGAGGCUUAGGGAGAGAGUUGCCCUAACUCGAGCACAGGAGACUCUUGCAGAAACCAUGUGUUGAGUCUGGCAGAUGGGCUCCUUAGGGAAAAGCAACAUCUAUGAGGUGUGAUGCCACACCCUGGGGGAAACACAGGAAGUGUGUCCUGCUCCCAGGUACUCUAAAUCCAAGUUCUGAGGCUUCUUUCCCUUUGAGGGCUGAUGCUGCCGGGGAGCAUGAGGGCCUUAGCAGCACCUCUGAUUCCUGCCAGCAGGUAGAUCUCAACCUUCCUCAGAGCCUCUGUUACUGCAGGUGCAGCCCAAGAUAUUCUGUAUAAGUACAGAAAAUACUGAAAAAAAUUCCCUAGUUCUUGGCCACAGGUGACAUCUUAACAAUUUCUAAAAUAUUAAUUACUAACUAUAAUAAUGCCUUUUUAAAAAGACAGUUACCACAAACACAAUCACUCUUUAAAUUCACUUUUAUUUUUUAAAGUUUAUUUUUAUCUUGAGAGAGAGAGGAAGAGAGAGAGAAUCGCAAGCCGGCUCCAUGCUGUCAGUGCAGAGUCUGACACAAGGCUUGGACACACAAACUGUGAGAUCAUGACCUGAGCUGAAACCAAGAGUCAGGUGCUUGACUGAUUGAGCCACCCAGGCGCCCCUAAAAUUCACUUUUAAGUAAUUGAUGGGUUAAGUAGAAAGUACAAAAUAAGAAUGGAAGAUAAUUUUCUUAACUGGAUAAAGGGGAUACAAAAGAGCAAAAAUGCUUAAUGAUGAGUAGUCAGAAAUGUUUCCACUGAUGCUAGAAACAAGGUAAGUGUGACAUUGGUCACCACCAUAAUUAAGUAUUGCCCUACAGGGGGAGGAGUCAACAUGGUGGAGAAGUAGGGGGACCCAAAGUUCCCUUGUCCGUCAAACAUAGCAGUAUUGAGGCCAGAAGACUUGGAAUUCCAGGCUACAGAGUGACAAAAACAUCUCCAGGGGCCCAUGAGGAUAGCUUGGCAGGCCAUAGGUGCAUGACUGUGAAUUGGGAGAGAGAAAAUGGACAGUGUAGGCAUGGAGGGGAGGAAUCCCCUUCGGUGGAGAGACAAAAGGAAGAGACUGUGUAGGAUUGUAUUUGGACAAAAGAAAAACGUCCAGACCAUAGACUAGGGAACAGAAAAAAACGGAGAAGGAACAAAUUCCUAACACAAUCCAGGGUUGCAGGGCUUUCUCUGGACUGGGGUCUGCUGCCCUACACACGUGCCCUGGGGGAAGGGGGAGGCAGAGCCCAGCCCUGGGCUCAGUAGCCAGUCCAGAGGUGCAGUCAGAGGAGUCCUGUCCCUUGAGUGGUGUGGGAAGAAGGUAUAUAGCCUCCAAGGACAAAAGACCCUGCAGGUGCCCACCAGCCAGAAGCCCUUUGUCAUCUGGUUGGGUAGAGUGGCACGGCCCCAGAACCGGGGCUUGUGGAGUGGGAUCCCUUAAGACAUCAGGGUUUGAGUCCCAGCCAAGUGCCUGGGAGGUGUGGGAGACUCUGGAGUGGGACAAACUGGCCUGCUUGUGCCCCCGCAGCACUGUGAGAACAACCUGAACAGAGUGGUCUGGGACACCCAGUCCGGGAAGGAGAAACUGGGGUUUCACCAUUUUUCUCCCCAUCCAACAAGGUGGGGCUUCAGGGAAGGGACAGCAGGCCCACAGUGGAGGCGGGACUCACCUCUACAAAUUGUGCCCCUCCAUGCCUGGUAACUGCGUAUCUACAAGAGCGGAAUUGAUGCUGACAAAUCAGACAGCCUCUCCUCCAGACCAGCACAGCCACCGACUCCAAGGCACUGUCAUAUAUUGGUCCAGUGGUUUUGCAUUUUCUGAUAUGAUUAUUGGUCAAUUCUUAUUAUAGAUUAUAUACAUAUAUAUUAUUAUAUGUAUACACAUAUAUCAUAUGUAUAUAUGUGUGUGUGUGUGUACAUAUAUAUGUGUAUAUAUGUAUAUGUAUGUGUAUAUAUACACACACACACACAUUUCUUCCUCAUUUCUUUCUUCCUCAUUUCUUCCCUUCUCUUUUCUGGUUGUCCGUUUGUUUAAGCAGACACUUUUAAUCUAGUCUUUUUACACCUAUUCUGUAUCUCCUUUAUUUUCCUCUCUCUCUGGAUUAAACCAUGUAGUUUCUCUGAUUCUCUCCCUGGUCAAUUUUUUUUUUCUUUUCUUUUCCUCACCACCAUCAUUUCUCUCUUUCUAUGGGAUAAGGCUUCUUCCACCACCACCCCCCUUUUUAAAAUUUUUCCAGGGUCACUUCAGUGAACAAGUCAAACCACAACUGGUGGAAGAUCCAAACCGCCACUAUGAGUAAGAAGAGAAAGCAACCAGAGUCACAACAACAGAGAGCACGCAACACACUCCAAAAACACCUCCUGAAGGGUCAGGCCCUGGACAGUGUAUGACCCCUUUUUAAUAUAGUAGUGCUUGUAGGUGCAGGACACAUAACAAGCUAUUAAAACACAUGAAGGAUAGAAAACUAGCCCAAAUGACAAAACGUAACUCUCACUAAAAAUUCCAGGAAGAAAUGGCAGCUAGAGAAUUGCUCAAAACAGAUAAAAACAAUAUAACUGAUCAAGAAUUUAGAAUAAUAGUCAUAAGAUUAAUAGCUGGGCUUGAAAAAGCAUAGAAAACAGAGAAUCUAUUGCUGCAGAGAUCAAGGAACUAAGGCAUAGUCACGACAAAUUAAGAAAUGUUGUAAAUGAGGUGCAAAAUAAACUGCAAUGACAGCAAGGAUGGAGGAAUCAGAGGGGAGAAUAAGUGAAAUAGAAGAUGAAGUAUGGAAAAUGAUGAAGCUGAGAAAAUGAUAAGAAAAUGCUAGACCAUGAAGGGAGAAUUAGAGAACUGAUUCAGUGAAAUGUAAUAAUACCCAUAUCAUAGGAGUUCAGAAGAAGAAGGAGAGAGAGAAAGGGGCAAAAGGUUUACUUGAACAAAUUGUAGUUGGGAACUAACCUAAUCUGGGUAAGGGAGCAUAAAUCCAAAUCCAGGAGGCACAGAGAAUUCUUCAGAAUCAACAAAAAUAGGUCUUCAACAUGGCAUAACAUAGCUAAACUGGCAAAAACAAAGAUAAAGAGAAUUCUGGAAGCAGUUGGGGAAAAACAGGCCUUAACCUAUAAGGAUAGACACAUAAAGGUAGUAGCAGACCUGUCUACUGAAAUUUGGCAAGCCAGAAGGGACUGCCAGGAAAUAUUCAAUGUGCUGAAUAGGAAAAAUAUACAGCCAAGAAUCCUUUAUCCAGCAAGGCCAUCAUUUAGAAGGAGAGAUUAAGGCUUUCCCAGACAAGAGCUGAAGGAGUUCAUGACCACUAAACCAGCCUUGCAAGAGAUCCUAAAGGACACUCUGAGUGGAAUGCUGUAAAGACUACAAAGGACCAGAGACAUCACCACAAACAUGAAACCCACAGAUAACACAGUGACAUUAAGUCCCUAUCGUUCAGUAAUAACUUUGAAUGUGCAUGGACUCAGUGCUCCAAUCAAAAAACAUAGGGUAUCAGAAUGGAUUAAAAAAAAAAAGAUCCAUCUAUAUGCUGUCUACAAGAGACUCAUUUUAGACCUGAGGACACCUUCAGAUUGAAGGGGAUGAAACACCAUCUAUCAUUCUACUAGAAGUCAAAAGAAUGCUGGAGUAGGCAUACUUAUAUCAGACAAACUAGGUUUUAAACUGAAGACUGUAACAAGAGAUCAAGAAGGGCAUUACAUCAUAGUUACAGGAUCUAUCCAUCAAGAAGAGCUAACAACUGUAAAUGUUUAUGCCCCCAACUUGAGAGCACCCAAAUAUAUAAAUCAAUUAAUCACAAACGAGUAAUCUUAUUGAUAAGAAUACAGUAAUUGUAGGUGACUUUAAUACUCCUCUAGGCAGGAAAUCAAUAAAGAAACAAUGGCCUUGAAUGGUACACUGGACCAGAUGGACUUGAUAGGUAUAUUCAGAACCUUUCAUCCAAGAGCAGCCAUAUACACAUUCUUGAGUGCACAUGGAACAUUCUCCAAGAUAGAUCACAUACUGGGUCACAAAAAAUGAAAACACGACGGUCCAAACCCUUUGGGAUGCAGCAAAGGCAGUGCUAAGAGGUAAAUACGUUGCAAUCCAGGCCUAUCUCAAGAAAUAAGAAAAAUCCCAAAUACAAACCUAGCCUCACACCUAAGGGAAUUAGUAGCAGAGCAGCAAAGAAAGCCCAAAGCCAACUGGAGAAGAGAAAUAAUAAAGAUUAGAGCAGAAAUAAUAAUAAAAAAAAAACAGUAUAACAGAGCAAUGAAUCUAAGAGGUUUUUUUGAAAGAAUAAACAAACUGGAUAAACCCCUAGCUAGACUUCUCAAAAAGAAAAGAGAACCCAAAUAGAUAAAAUCAUGAAUGAAAGAAGAGAGAUCACAACUAAUGCCACAGAAAUGCAAACAAUUAUUGAAUAUGAAAAAUUAUAUGCCAACAAACUGGACAACCUGGAAGAAAUGGACAAAUUCCUAGGUGCCCACACACUACCAAAACUCAAACGGGAAGAAAUAGAAAAUUUGAACUAAAUCAGUUAUCAAAAAUCUCCCAACAAAUAAGAGUCCUGGUCCAGAUGACUUUCCAGGGGAAUUCCACCAGACAUUUACAGCAGAGUUAAUACAUUCUUCUCAAGCUGUUCCAAAAACUAGAACUGGAAGGAAAGUUUCUGGACUCAUUCUAUGAAGCCAGCAUUACCUUGAUUCCCAAACCAGACAGAGAUACCACUAAAAAGAAGAAUUAUCCCUGAUGAAUAUGGGUGUGAAAAUUCCCAACAAGAUACUAACAAAUCAAAUUCAACAGCACAUAAAAAUUAUUAACCGUGAUCAAGUGAGAUUCAUUCCUGGGCUGCAGAGCUGGUUCAACAUUCGCAAAUCAAUCAGUGUGAUACAUCACGUUAAUAGAAGGAAGGAUAAGAACCAUGUGAUCCUGUCAACAGAUGCAGAAAAAGCAUUUGACAAAAUACAGCAUCCUUUUUAAGUAAAAACCCUCAAGAAAGUCAGGAUAGAAGGAACAUACCUUAACAUCAUAAAAACCACACAUGAAAAGGCCACAGCCAAUAUCAUCCUUAAUGGGGAAAAACUGGGACCUCUCCCCCUGAGAUCAGGAACAUGACAGGGAUGUCCACUCUCACUGCUGUUGUUUAACAUAGUGUUGGAAGCCCUAGCCUCAACAAUCAGUCAAAAAAUGAAAUAAAAGUCAUCCAAAUUGCCAAAGAAGUUAAACUUUCACUUUUCACAGAUGACAUGAUACUCUACAUGGAAAACCCGAAAGACUCCACCAAAAAACUGCUAGAACUGAUACAUGAAUUCAGCAAAUUUGCAGGAUGUAAGAUCAAUGUACAGAAUUCAGUUGCAUUUCUGUACACCAAUAAUGAAGUGACAGAGAAAUCAAGAAAUUGAUCCCAUUUAAAAUUGCACCAAGAACCUUAAAAUCCCUAGAAAUAAACCUAAGUUGCAAAAAAUCUUUAUGCUGAAAACUUUAGAAAACUUAUGAAAGAAAUUGAAGAAGAUACACAGAAAUGGAAAAACAUUCCAUGCUCAUGGAUUGGAAGAAAAAAUAUUGUUUAAAUGUCAACACUACCCAAAGCAAUCUACACAUUCAAUGCAAUCCCAAUCAAAAUCGCACCAGCAUUCUUCUCAGAGCUAGAACAAACAGUCCUAAAAUUUGUAUGGAGCCACAAAGGACCCGAAUAGCCAAGGUAAUGUUGAAAAAGAAAACCAAAGUUGGAGGCAUCACAGUCUUUAGCCUCUACUACAGACUUUAGCCUUUGCUACAAAGCUGUAAUCAUCAAGACAGUAUCAUAUUGGCACAAAAACAGUCACAUAGAUUAGUGGAAUAGAAUAGAGAACCCAGAAUUGGACCCACAAAUGUAUGGCCAACUAAUCUUUGACAAGGCAGGAAAAAGUAUGCAUUGGAAAAAAGAGAGUCUCUUUAGCAAAUGGUGCUGGGAGAGCUGGACAACAACAUGCAAAAGGAUGAAACUAGACCACUUUCUUAUACCAUACACAAAAAUAAACUCAAAAUGUGAGGCAGGAAACCAUCAAAAACCCUAGAGGAGAAAACAGGCAACAACUUUUUUGGCCUCAGCCACAGCAACUUCUUACUUGACAUAUCUCUAAAGGAAAGGGAAAUAAAAGCAAACAUGAACUAUUGGGACCUCAUCAAGAUAAAAGUCUUCUGCACAGCAAAGGAAACAACAAAACUAAAAGGCAACAAAUGGAAUGGGAAAAGAUAUUUGCAAAUGACAUAUCAGAUAAAGGGUUAGUAUCCAAAAUCUAUAAAGAAUUUACCAAACUCAAUACCCAAAAAACAAUCCAGUGAAGAAAUGGGCAGGCAGGAGACAUGAAUAGUCACUUUUUCAAAGAAGACAUCUAGAUGUCCAACAGACACAUGACAAGAUGUUCAACAUCACUUCUCAUCAGGGAAAUACAAAUCAAAACCACCAUGAGAUACCACCUCAUAUCUGUCAGAAUGGCUAAAAUUAACAACUCAGGAAUGAACAGAUGCUCAUGGGGAUGUGGAGAAAUGGGAACCCUCUUGCACUGUUGGUGGGAAUGCAAACUGGUGCAGCCACUCUGGAAACAGUAUGGAGGUUCUUCAAAAAUUAACAAUAGAAUUAUCCUAUGACCCAGCAAUAGCACUACUAGGAACUUAUUCAAAGGAUUCAGGAGUGCUGAUUCAUAGGGGCACAUGUACUCCAAUGUUUAUAGCAGCACUAUCAACAAUAAUCAAAGUAUGGAAAGAGCCCAAAUGUCCAUCAACUGAAGAAUGGCUAAGAAGAUGUGAUUUAUAUGUACAACGGAAUACUACUUGACAAUGAGAAAGAAUGCAAUCUUGCCAUUAGCAACAACGUGGAUGGAACUGGAGGGUAUUAUGGUAAGUGAAAUAAGUCAGUCAGAGAGAGACAGAUAUCAUAUAUUUUUACUCAUAUAUGGAAUUUGAGAAACUUAACAGAAGACCAUGGGGGAAGGGAAGGGGGAAAUAGUUUCAAACAGAGAGGGAGGUAAACCAUAAGAGACUCUUAAAUACAGAGAACAAACUGAGGGUUGAUGGAGGGGCAAGGGAGAGGGAAAUGGAUGAUGGGCAUUGAGGAGGGCACUUGUUGAGAUGGGGCACUGGUUGUUGUAUGUAAACAAUGAAUCAUGGGAAUCUACUUCUGAAUCCGAGAGCAUACACUGUAUGUUAGGUAACUUGACGAUAAAUUGUAUUAACAAAAAAAAAAAAAAGUAUUGCCCUGGAGGUGCUGAUUAAUUGUAAAAUUUUUAAAAAUUAAAUUCUAAAAAUAUUAGAAAUGGAUGUUUUUUGUAAUUUCCAAACAGUACCUUCUCCCUUAGAAACCUAAGAAAAGCAUUAGAAUUAGCAAAUCAGCAUGAUUUGAAAAUAAUAUUUGAAAUCAGUGUAAUAUAUUGAGAUCAGUGUAAUAAUAAUUAGAAAAUAUGAUAGGAAAAUUAUCCCAUUUGCCACAACACUGGCAACUAUGAUACCUUGGAAUAAUCUAAAAUGAAAAAAACUUUAUGAAGAAAAAACACAGCUUUUCUAAAGGAAUAAAGAAUAGAGAGAUAACCCAUGUUCAUGAUAGAAGAAUUACUACUUUUAAGAGGCCAUAUAUUGAAAGCAAUACUGAUAAAAUUGCUACCGUUUGAAAAACAGAAUGUAAAAAGAUGAUUAUCUGGUUUAUAUGCAUCUGUACAAGUACAUGAGUAGUCAAGACAAUCUUGCAGAAACAAAAAGGCAGAGGAAGGGGUAGACCUGCCCUGUGAAUUAUGAAGACAAAGUUAAAUUUUAUCAUUGAGACCAGCAGCAUCAGUGCAUGAAUAGACCAUAGAGGAUCAAGAAACAGACCUAUGUAUAUUUUGAAAUUUGGUAUACAAUAGGUGACAUUUCAAAUCAGAAUGGAGAAAUGAUGCUUCAGUAAGUGAUCUUGGAAGGACUGGCUAUCCACAUGGAAUGAAGCAGAUUCUUUCCUCAUACUGUGCACAAAAGUAAGUUUUUUAUGUGUGAAGGAUCUAAACUUUCUUUUAAGUUAUAGGGAAAAAAUUAUAAAAGAGUAGGCUUUUAAAGCAGGAUUAAAUAAUACAAAAGCAAAACUUAGAGCAAAAUAAUUAGUCUAUAUAAAGAUUUAAAUCUUUUGUACAAGUGACACCAUAACCAAAAUUAAGACAUGCUGUUGACAGCAACCCCUAAAUUGAGCAAAGAGGAAACAUAAUUUGCAGAAGAAACCAAAUCCUAAAGUACAGAUAAAGUGCUCAAAAUCAUUAGUAAUCACAACAAAAUAAAACAGCAAUGACCUAUCACUUUGUACUAUUAGGCUGGCCAAUAAAAAGAAAGAAAGAAAGCUGGAUGAUGCCGAGUGUUUGCAGACGCAUAGAGAUAUGCGACCCAAUGAUGGAAGCUGCCUCUACCUGGCUCACAUCUGAACGUCUUUGGCCAAUCCAAGCUUUCCAGAUUCCAAACAACGUCCUUACCAACCGUAGAUCUCACGAGCAACUUCUGACCUGCUGAGUUCUAGGAUCAAGAAGGAGGGCAGCUUGUGCCACAGUUGGGAUCUUCUCUGGACCCUUGGGAAUUUGGCAGCCUCUGGGGUUAUCCAAUAAAUGAAUCAGAUUAUUCCCAACUUUGGUACUUGUUUCCUCCAAAUUCAAAUUCCAAAGAGACCCACAAUGUAUUGUUUUCAUUGUUUUUAUUUAAGUGGAGAGAUAUUUCAAGUGCAGCAGCUUGCCCAUCACCUGUGAAGAAACAUCCCGACCUGACCUUGAUCUACCCAGUGCCUGGAAAUAGCCAUAAGCUCCUGUGAGAAAUGGUUGCAGGAAUAUUUACUGUGUACAUUUGCAUGGAGUUACAGGAGUGUUACUAAAGGGGGACUGACCUUCCACUUCAUGUACUCUGAGUCUGUAAAUUUAGAGCUGAGCCCUGGGUGUGGGACCCUGAUUUUCCAUUAAGGUAGCAAACGGCUAAUUAUUUAUUUAUUUUGCUUGCUUGUUUAUGUAAAUAAAUUAUCACCCUAGAGAACUGUGGUAUCAGCCACUACCUGAGAUCCCUGCAGAUCAAACCAUCUUAAUUGCCACUCCAACUUUGCCUGUCCUUAGUCUGCUGAGAUGGCUUUAGGUAUUUUUGCUUAAGUAAAAAUCAUGAAUCAAAGGUGAGUGCCCGGGUCAAUAAAUGACCUCUCUGCUCUUAAGUUCUACAUUCCCUUAUCUAACACCAGGGUCCACUUUUACACAGACUCCCCAGGCCCUGUUGUUAGGCAGCUCCUGUAAUACCUUUUGUUAUAUAGGCAUUUUUUCCUCAUAGGAGGACUUUUUAUUUCUCUCCCCAGGCUGUGCUGGUACCUGACUCUUGGUAUCAACACAGAGACAAUGAGGAGUUGGGGGAAUGGAGGGGCAGGUAGGUCCUGAGAAGGACAGACAUCAUCAUUUAAGGCAUCCACUUCAGGUGAGGCUAAUGUGGAAAACGCUGUUUCUGCCAUCAGGAAGUGUUCAGGGACAUGAGGGGGAGGGGUAUCAAAAUUAUCAGAUUGUGCUUCCAAAUAUCCCAAUCCCAAAUAUUAGAGUAUUACUCAUCCUGCAUCUGGGCCUGAUUUUCACAUAAAACCUGCUGAGGCUGUAAAUGUAAACUCCUUUGCAUUCCACCCUGUGUUGACAGGAGAUAAAGUUCUCUGGCUUUCAGAUAUUUUCUUAAGUUGGAGAAUGACUGUCAUUUAAUUUUUGUAAACUGACAUGAUAUUGAAUUUCAUCCAAGUACUAGAAGGUAAACUAAUUCAAGUAGGUCACUGACCAAGAGAAAGAAGCAGGAGUUCUCGAGAAUAUAAGGAGGUACACAGUUUACUUCCCAAUAUGGACAUCACAUCUACAACUACAGAAUCUAUUUUCUUUGCAAGUACACAGAGCAUUUACAAAAAAAAUGAAAUAUACUGGGAAAUAAAUCAAGUCUCAGUAAAUAGUAAAGAAUUACUAUUAUUCAAAGUAUGUUCGCUGACCACAAUAAAAUUAUUUUAGAAAUAAAUGACAAAAAUAUCAGAAAUUUCCAUGUUUUGAAAUUAAGCUUACUACAAAAUAACCACAUGUCAAAGAGCACGUUGAAAGAGAAAUUUAAUUACUUUUGAACAAAUGAUGAAAAAAUACUAUGAAUCAAAACCUGCAAAGUGCAGCCAACUCAGGAUGAGGUCGAAUUUUGUAACCAUAAGGGCCUAUAUUGGGAAAGAAAAAAAAAGCUACAAAUUAAUGAGCUUCCAAUCGAUCUUAAAAUGUUAUAAAAAAUAACAGGAAAACAAAAAUGGAAAUGAAACAAUAAAAACAAUGAAUUCAUAAAACAAAAAAAUGCAUGAUAAAAAGGAACAACAAAAGUUAACAUGUGGCUCUUUGACAAGACUAAUAAAACUGACAACUCCUUACAAAGACUAACAGAAAGAAACAGCACAAAAAGCCAACAGUGGGGAUGUGAAAGAGGACAUUACUAAGGAGAGUGUGGAGGAUAUCAUGAAUAAUGAUAUGCCGGUAAAUUCUCAAUCUGGAUGACAUGGAUGAAUCCUACAAAAGUAUUACCCUGCUAGAAGGAGUCAGAAAGCUGAAGAGUCCUAUAUUCAUUUAAAAAAAGAAUUGAACAGAGUUGAGAGUUUCCUCAGAAAUUAACAGAGAAGAUAUGUAGAUGACAAAUAGCGCUUGAAAAAUGUUCAGGAUCAUUAGUUACUGUGGAAUGAAAAUUACAAUCACAGCUACUAGUAUAGGUAAAAUUUUAAAGGUAAGAGUGGAAAAUAACAAUUGUUGGCCAGGAUGUGGAGCAGUAGGAACUCUCCUGGCCUGCUGUGGGGAAGACAAAAUGGUUCAUCCUCUUUGGAAAAUGGUUAAACAGUUUCUUACCAAGUUACACAUGCACUUAACAGACCAGCAAUCCAUCCCAUUUCUUGUGUUUACCUAAGAGUAAAAAAAAAUACAUGUGUACCAUAAGAAAGAGUCUAACAUCUUUUGAUGUUUUUGGACAAUUUUUAAGCCUAACACCUCUCUCUUCCCCUUCUUCCCAGUUUCAAGCAAGCUAAUAAUACCUCAACACAGGUGCUCUCUCACUGCUUUCGUGAAGAUAUGAGGCUCAAACCACACAAGUCCCUGCCCAUGCUCUGGAACCUUCCUCCAGCCCCACUCCCAUAAAACUCCAAGCCAGUCUCCUUUCCUUGAUCUUCUAAGUCAUUUUUUGGGCCUGCUUGGCAGGCAUUCUGCUCUCCCCAGAAAGCCUCCUUAUGUGAAUAAGUGAGUAAGAAGUCUUUUCUUAAUUUGGGGUGCCUGGGUGGCUCAGUUGGUUCAGCAUCUGACUUCAGGUCAUAAUCUCACAGUUUGUGAGUUUGAGCCUCACAUCGGGCUCUGCUGACAGCUCAGAGCCGGGAGCCUGCUUCGGGUUCUGUGUCUCCCUCCCUCUCUCUCUCUGCUUCUCCCCCACUUGUGUGCUGUCUCUCUCAAAAAUAAAUAAAUAAACAUUAAAACAAAUGUUUUUUUUUUUUUUUUACAAAAAGAAGUCUUUUCUUAAUUUGUGCUAGCAUCAUCAGUCUGGACAUCCAAACCAAACUUGGCAAAUCUGCCUCUGCAAGGUGACUGCCAUAUCCGUGCAAAGGCUUGCGUGUGAAUGUUUAUAGGAGCUUAUUGAAAACAGCCAGGUACAGGAACAACCCAAAUGUUCAUCAACUGGUGAGUGGAUAGACAAGUUGUAGUUCAUCUAUAUACACAGUGAAAUACCACUCAGCAAUAAAAAGGAACAAAAUCCUGAUACAUACACAAGCAUGGAUGAAUCUCAAAGGUGUUAUGCUAGGUGAAAGAAGCCAGUCACAAAGGCUAUAUACUGGUUGAUUCCACUAUAGGAAUAGAAAAUCAAAUUAGCAGUUUCCUGGGCCUGGGUAAGGAGAGAGGAUUGAAAACAAAGGAGCAUGAAAAGAUUUUUGGUUGGUGUUAAUGGUCUACAUCUUGUGGUAGUGGUAUAUGAUGUGUACAUUUGUCCAAAUUCAAUGAUCUGUACAUAAACCUGACUUAAAAGGAAAAAACUUCCUCAAAAUGUAAGCUCCAGGCUUCACUGGUGAGUUCUGCUAAAUAUUCAAUGAAAAAGUAAUUCUAAACCUCAUACCGUUCCCAGAGAAUAGAAAUAAGUGAAUAUUCCCAACAUUUUACAAGGCUAGCAUAGCUUGAUAAUGAAACCUGACAAAGACAUAAAGAGAAAAGAAAAUUAUAGGUUUAUAAUUAUAAACAUGGAUACAAAAUGG